UGGAGUAGUAGUAGCUAUGUUCUUGAAACUUAAAAAAUUUGGCGGUAUUUUAGUCUAUUCAGAGGAACCUGUUCUAUAAUCGAUAAUCCACGUUGGACCUCACUUAUCUUUGUAAUCAGUUUAUAUACCGUCGUUAUCAGAAUAUUUUAUAAGAAUAAAAAUUUUCAGGAAUUUUUUUAGGAGUAUAUUUCAGAUCAAGGUGUAGCUAAUAGGUAAGAAGAAAUGGGUUACAAUAAAAUUAUUUAUAUGGAUAUAUUUAUGAAAAAAAUAUUGAAAGUGGAUUUGAAAGUAAAAUUGUAAAGAUAAACAAUUUGAUUUUAGCUCUAAAAUAUGCACACAUCGCCCGUCGCUCUUGUUUCUAAGGCAAGAUAAGUCGUAACAUAGUAGAUGUACCGGAAGGUGUAUCUAGAAUGACAAUCUAAAGCUUAAUAGAAAAGUAUUUCAUUUACAUUGAAAGGGUUUAUGUGCAAUUCAUUAUAGAUUGAUUAAAUUUUAUUUAUUAAUUUUAUUUGUUUUAUCUUUAUUUAUUAAAAAUAAUUAUAAAAAUAUAUGUUUUAGUAGUGUAUAAAGAAAAAAUAUUAUAAAUUAUAGAAGAUUGUAUCGUGAGAGAUUAUUGAAAUAUUUGAAAAA
rnacentral:rRNA from 1 species